GUAGGACCCCGGCGGGUGUGGCAGCAACUGCCCUGGAGCCCCAGCCCCUGCGUCCAUCUGUGCUGUGCGCCCCACAGUAGACGUGCAGACGUCCCUGAGAGGUUCUUGAAGAUGUUUAUUUAUAUUGUCCUUUUUUACUGGAAGACGUACGCAUACUCCAUCGAUGUUGUAUUUGCAGUGGCUGAGGAAUUCUUGUACGCAGUUUUCUUUGGCUUUACGAAGCCGAUUAAAAGACCGUGUGAAAUGAACCUUGCUCUGACAAUUCCCUUGCAUUGCACCACACACUCCUUGCUGCGGGCUCCUGCAGCCAGACCUGAGCAGAGAGAGAAGGUGGAGAAGCAGUGGGUCUGCAAGCCUUGCCUGGGGCCUGCAGAGCUAGAAAGGGAGGCCCAGCAGACUGGCGCUGGUCAGGGUAGGGGAGCCAGGCGGGGGACGGGAGCGGGCAGCUCAGGCCUCAGGGCAGCCCUGGGAGGCUUCUGGCAGUGGUGGCCAGAGGGCUGGACUGUGCGGGCAGCUUAACAGGGACAGUGGACGUGCACCUGACGCUGACCUGGACUGCCUCAGUCUAGAAGCAGGCCAGAGAGCAGAGGCACGUGGCAUCUCAGGGCGACCUCAGACGGCCAGCCGGUUAGCUAGUUCUGCUGUUGCUUCACGAGUUCUGAGCAUUCUCUGCUAGCCUAUGGAAGCUGCAGCCCUCGGAGGACAGAAGUGUUGUGCGCCCAACAGAACCCUCUGAGACGCAAGCUGCUCCCUUGGCUAGCUCAUAUGUGGAAAUAGCCCUGUAAUUCGAGGUUGAAGGGGCCCGGCCAGGACUCGGGGAAGGGUGGCCUGAGAGCAGCGAUGACCUCUGGGGUCACUGUCCCAGGAGGGACUUCACCUGGAACGAGAGCUGGAGGCAGCCGCUUGCCCAGGAGGCUUGUCCCCUGAGGCGCUUCGCCAGUGAGGUGCGGGCUCAGGGCCUCGAGUCUCUCCUGGAGCACGGGCUGCGGUGCGCUGGCAGCUUACGGGGCGGCCAGUCCUUGCCCACAACGAUGUGGAGCCCUGUGAAAGUCGGAUUCGAAUAAAGGGCCACGUGUGCACCCAGAAA
rnacentral:sRNA from 1 species